GUGCCAGCAGCCGCGGUAAUACGUAGGGUACGAGCGUUGUCCGGAAUUAUUGGGCGUAAAGAGCUCGUAGGUGGUUGGUCACGUCUGCUGUGGAAACGCAACGCUUAACGUUGCGCGUGCAGUGGGUACGGGCUGACUAGAGUGCAGUAGGGGAGUCUGGAAUUCCUGGUGUAGCGGUGAAAUGCGCAGAUAUCAGGAGGAACACCGGUGGCGAAGGCGGGACUCUGGGCUGUAACUGACACUGAGGAGCGAAAGCAUGGGGAGCGAACAGGAUUAGAUACCCUGGUAGUCCAUGCCGUAAACGUUGGGCACUAGGUGUGGGGGACAUUCCACGUUCUCCGCGCCGUAGCUAACGCAUUAAGUGCCCCGCCUGGGGAGUACGGUCGCAAGGCUAAAACUCAAAGGAAUUGACGGGGGCCCGCACAAGCGGCGGAGCAUGCGGAUUAAUUCGAUGCAACGCGAAGAACCUUACCAAGGCUUGACAUACACCGGACCGGGCUGGAAACAGUCUUUCCCCUUUGGGGUCGGUGUACAGGUGGUGCAUGGUUGUCGUCAGCUCGUGUCGUGAGAUGUUGGGUUAAGUCCCGCAACGAGCGCAACCCUCGUUCUAUGUUGCCAGCACGUAAUGGUGGGAACUCAUAGGAGACUGCCGGGGUCAACUCGGAGGAAGGUGGGGAUGACGUCAAAUCAUCAUGCCCUUUAUGUCUUGGGCUUCACGCAUGCUACAAUGGCUGGUACAGAGAGAUGCGAGACCGUGAGGUUAAGCGAAUCCCUUAAAGCCAGUCUCAGUUCGGAUCGUAGUCUGCAAUUCGACUACGUGAAGUCGGAGUCGCUAGUAAUCGCAGAUCAGCAACGCUGCGGUGAAUACGUUCCCGGGCCUUGUACACACCGCCCGUCAAGUCACGAAAGUCGGUAACACCCGAAGCCGGUGUCCCAACCCCCUUGUGGGGAGGGGGCCGUCUAAGGUGGGACUGGCAAUUGGGACUAAGUCGUNNCAAGGUAACC
rnacentral:rRNA from 1 species